UACGGGGGGAGCAAGCGUUGUUCGGAUUUACUGGGCGUAAAGCGCACGUAGGCGGAUCGUUAAGUCAGGGGUGAAAUCCUGGAGCUCAACUCCAGAACUGCCUUUGAUACUGGCGAUCUUGAGUCCGGAAGAGGUGAGUGGAACUCCUAGUGUAGAGGUGGAAUUCGUAGAUAUUAGGAAGAACACCAGUGGCGAAGGCGGCUCACUGGUCCGGUACUGACGCUGAGGUGCGAAAGCGUGGGGAGCAAACAGG
rnacentral:rRNA from 1 species